rnacentral:rRNA from 1 species
UGGGGAAUUUUGGACAAUGGGCGCAAGCCUGAUCCAGCCAUGCCGCGUGUCUGAAGAAGGCCUUCGGGUUGUAAAGGACUUUUGUCAGGGAAGAAAAGGCUGUUGCUAAUAUCGACAGCUGAUGACGGUACCUGAAGAAUAAGCACCGGCUAACUACGUGCCAGCAGCCGCGGUAAUACGUAGGGUGCGAGCGUUAAUCGGAAUUACUGGGCGUAAAGCGAGCGCAGACGGUUACUUAAGCAGGAUGUGAAAUCCCCGGGCUCAACCUGGGAACUGCGUUCUGAACUGGGUGACUAGAGUGUGUCAGAGGGAGGUAGAAUUCCACGUGUAGCAGUGAAAUGCGUAGAGAUGUGGAGGAAUACCGAUGGCGAAGGCAGCCUCCUGGGAUAACACUGGCGUUCAUGCUCGAAAGCGUGGGUAGCAAACAGGAUUAGAUACCCUGGUAGUCCACGCCCUAAACGAUGUCAAUUAGCUGUUGGGCAACUUGAUUGCUUAGUAGCGUAGCUAACGCGUGAAAUUGACCGCCUGGGGAGUACGGUCGCAAGAUUA